rnacentral:rRNA from 1 species
UACAGAGGGGGCAAGCGUUGUUCGGAAUUACUGGGCGUAAAGGGCGCGUAGGCGGCCCGCUAAGUCGAACGUGAAAUCCCCGAGCUCAACUCGGGAACUGCGUCCGAUACUGGUGGGCUUGAAUCCGGGAGAGGGAUGCGGAAUUCCAGGUGUAGCGGUGAAAUGCGUAGAUAUCUGGAGGAACACCGGUGGCGAAGGCGGCGACCUGGGUCGAUACUGACGCUGAGGUGCGAAAGCGUGGGGAGCAAACAGG